rnacentral:rRNA from 1 species
UACAGAGGGUGCGAGCGUUAAUCGGAAUUACUGGGCGUAAAGCGCACGUAGGUGGCGACGUAAGUCGGGUGUGAAAGCUCCGGGCUCAACCUGGGAAUUGCAUUCGAGACUGCAUUGCUGGAGUACGGAAGAGGAGGGCGGAAUUCCAGGUGUAGCGGUGAAAUGCGUAGAUAUCGGGAGGAACAUCAGUGGCGAAGGCGGCCCUCUGGUCCAGUACUGACACUCAAGUGAGAAAGCGUGGGGAGCAAACAGG